UUUAAAGGGUAUUAUCGUAUUCUUUCCUCAGCGGAAGGGUUCCGAAGGUUAUAAACAUUUGUUAGCUAAAGCAAAAAUGGUUUAUCCCUAAAAAGUAGUCCCUACAGUGUAAAAGAAGAUUAAAUCCUAUAAAGAGAGAUGUUGGCCUUUUGCUAAUAACUCUCGAUUCUUAAGAUUACAGGAAUAGGCUGCAAGAUGUGUGUAGUUAAUGCCUGGGGCUGACAUUUGCGGAAGGAUAUUGUGAACGCAUUUUGUAUGCGUACGAAGAAGUAAACAAAUGAAGAAUAAAAAGUGCCGCCUUAAAGGGGCAGUGUGACUGCAUUAGCGCAGCAACCUCGGACUAGGCCUCGGAGGAUGAGAAGGCAGGUUCGAGUCCCGGGUGACUUACAUCCUCUGGCCUUGGGACCGCUGGACGAAAGUGGCCGAGCCCCAGCCCAGGCCUACUUUUUCAGGGCCGCGGACGCCCGAGGACCAGUGCAAAACGGCCAUUAAACUACUCUGAGCCAAAAUGACAAAUGAAGAAAAUCCUGGCAAAGACCUUGUGAACCAAGCUGCUCAGGAGUUGGGAAUUGCGGACAGGAUUCGUGGGGGACAUGUCUUCUUGGCUCCCUCAGAAGGAUGAAGGGUUUUCAGGCCCAGUAGCACGAAGAAGGGCAUUCUGUAAAGAACAAACACGGUGUCCAAAGAAAGGACUCAUCCAGAACUCAGGAGUGGUUUCAUGGGGAAGUGGUGAUGCGUAUGCCCCAAUGGAGAAGCAAGCAAGAAUGCCAACUGUUUUGAAAUUGACCACUCCAGUUUCUGGGCUUCCAAGAACUCCCUGCAUCUGGAAAACGCUGCUGUUCUUUGUCCUCCUUCAUCAGUCAGUCCUGUGAGCAAGAGCUGCCCCUCACACUGAGAGCUCCCUGAGGAAAAGAGGUUUUGCAGAGAACUUGAAUGGGAGUCAGAGAUCUCUUUAACUCCUAGAGGACUCCUGGGUACCCUCAUUCAGGGGGAUUGAGAGGUACAGCUGAGCCCAGCCACCCUCAGUUUACUGGAGAGGGCUCAUCUGUCACAUGUGGGGAAUGGUGGGCAGAGUGAUAGGUUGUGGAAUUCUAGAAUUCCGUCAAACAAGAGGCCAGGCACCUUGAUAAUAGCUGAGUUUUAACCCAUUGCCAAGCAUUUUACAUGAUAUGGGCACGCCUGGGUGGCUCAGUCAGUUGUGUCUGCCUUCUAGUCAGGUCAUGAUCCCAAGGAUCCUGGGACUGAGUCCUGCAUGGGGCUCCCUGCUUGGGGAGCCUGUUUUUCCGUUUGCCUGCUGCUCUCCCUGCUUGUGCUCUCUCUGACAAAUAAAAUAUUAAAACAAAAAACCCA